rnacentral:rRNA from 1 species
AGAUUGAACGCUGGCGGCAUGCCUUACACAUGCAAGUCGAACGGCAGCACGGGAGCAAUCCUGGUGGCGAGUGGCGAACGGGUGAGUAAUAUAUCGGAACGUGCCCAGUCGUGGGGGAUAACGCAGCGAAAGCUGUGCUAAUACCGCAUACGAUCUAUGGAUGAAAGCGGGGGAUCGCAAGACCUCGCGCGAUUGGAGCGGCCGAUAUCAGAUUAGCUAGUUGGUGGGGUAAAAGCUACCAAGGCGACGAUCUGUAGCUGGUCUGAGAGGACGACCAGCCACACUGGAACUGAGACA